AGAACGAACGCUGGCGGCAGGCCUCAAACAUGCAAGUCUAGGGGGUGUAGCAAUACAUCACCGGCGGACGGGUGCGUAACGCGUGGGAAUAUACCUAUUGGUUCGGAACAACUGAGGGAAACUUCAGCUAAAUACCGAAUGUGCCCUAACGGGGAAAGAUUUAUCGCCAAUGGAUUAGCCCGCGUUCGAUUAGCUAGUUGGUGGGGUAACGGCCCACCAAGGCGACGAUCGAUAGCUGUUCUGAGAGGAAGAUCAGCCACACUGGGACUGAGACACGGCCCAGACUCCUACGGGAGGCAGCAGUUGGGAAUCUUGGACAAUGGGGAAACCCUGAUCCAGCCAUGCCGCGUGAGUGAUGAAGGCCUUCGGGUUGUAAAACUCUUUCGCGCACGACGAUAAUGACGGUAGUGCGAGAAGAAGCUCCGGCUAACUUCGUGCCAGCAGCCGC
rnacentral:rRNA from 1 species